rnacentral:misc_RNA from 1 species
CAAGGCUUUUUUCAUGUGGGACAAGUAAAGAGGGGGAGUCGCAUAUUGUUGAGUGGAAUGAAAGUGAAGGUAAUGUGAAAAGGAGCUAUCUAGGUUUCCGCAAACGUUCUUUGGGUGUUGUGCAAUUUGAUACAACAAAGAACCGGUUUUUGGCUGCUGGUGAUGAUUUUUCUAUCAAGUUCUGGGAUAUGGACAAUGUUCAACUUUUGACGUCAAUUGAUGCUGAUGGAGGCCUUCCAGCAAGUCCACGUAUCCGCUUCAACAAAGAUGGCACUCUCUUGGCAGUUUCUGCCAAUGAGAAUGGUAUUAAAAUAUUGGCAAAUUCCGAUGGUCUUAGAUUGUUGCGGUCAUUUGAGAAUCUCUCUUAUGAUGCCUCACGAGCAUCUGAAACAGUUACGAAGCCUAUAAUUAGCCCAAUCUCAGCAGCAGCGGCAGGAGCAGCAGCCGCCGCGACUAGGGCUGCAGAUAGAAAUGCUUCUAUGGUUACUAUUCCUGGAAUGAAUGGCGAUGCUCGGAACAUGGGAGAUGUGAAACCUAGAAUAAAUGAAGAAUCCAAUGACAAAUCGAAGAUAUGGAAGCUCACUGAAAUUAAUGAACCAUCUCAAUG